rnacentral:lncRNA from 1 species
UUUGAAGCCAGUAAUGAGAUGAGAUUUAUAAAUCAAAUUCAUGACCAGUCUAAUCGUUUGCUGUUUAAGUUCAGUUAGACUAUAAAGCAAAUAUCAUCGCCUAUGUGACUUGUGAAAUAUAGCUUCCAAAACCUUUUCGAAGUAGUUUUAGAACGUUUUAUACACCACCUAAUGAGGCUGAUGGCGGCCGUAUUUGAUGGCCCCAUUAGUUAUUCACCGGCAAAUUUAGGGGAAAAAAGAGGCCACUGAUGAUAAAUUCUUAUCUAGGCAAUAUUUGUCCUUUCCCACUAGUGACUAGAAACGUAAAGGAAGUGUUAAACAUGAUCACAACACGUACCAGAUUAGAGUAACAGUGGGGCCAUCCAAUAUGGCUGCCAUUGGCUUCACUUAUGCACAGCAGAUGCUUUAUCCAGUCUUAUUUAGUCUUAUUUCAGAUCAGUGGUUCGAAUAUACUUAACUUUGAACGUUUAGCUUCACGAUCCUGUUGGUGUGGAGUAUUAGAGAGUUUAUGCUUCGCGUUAUACGUUUCAGGUAAUAAAGAGCAAGUUAGCUUGCCGUUUUAAAACUGAAAUACAUAAUUAUUCUUUCGACACAAGAUAGAAAAUAUGAAACGAAAACGUUCAAAAAAAAUUUGGCAAGAAAAUUCAAACCUGCCGUUUGAAUUGCCGUUCCCGGAAACGUGAAGCUUAUUUAGCUAUUUAAGUAACUCUUUAUUCUUAUUCAUUUACGUGGGAGAGGCGAUGCACUGCAUGAUUGUGUUUAAGUGUUUUCCACAGUAUAAACUGAAUUUAUCAUAAGGUACCUCGAUCUACUUUCCAUUAUUCUUGAUUGGUUAGUGGAGCAGUGGAGAGGAUGGUGCGUUGUAAAUAUAUGUUGUGAAUUUCUCUGUGAACUUUUUACUGCAUACUGUAGUUCAUGUAAAGUAAUGUAACAUCAUUUUGUAAAAAUGUUGGGUUUUUUUUUCAUAAUUUAAUCCAAAUUUUCACCGUAUUUUGCUGAAAAUAUGGCAAUCUCUAUUCGAAAUUUAUAUAAAAAAUUCGAUCAGAACGCAGGAAAUCGCAUUUCCGAGGUUCUAGAUUUCCAAAUUUUGCAAAGACAUGAGGAAUUAUGCAUCUCUCAGCUAAAACCAUGGAUCCGGCCCUGUUGUAAAGGCCUAAGAACAUAUUUAUUAUCCAAAUAUGUAGUAGAUAAACCAUAAUAAGUAGACAAUAACUGUAAAUAUAAACAUUUUAACUUAUGCUUUUUAGAUAACAUAGAGAUAAACUUUACUUUGUAAUCUAUAGCAGUUGAAGACAUGGGCUAACCGGGCGGGGGGGGGGGAGCCCCCCAGUUUGUUGGGCAAACAGUCGGGCAAUAUUGGCUUAUUAUAAAAAUAAAUGGGACAAAUUCUGUGAAUUUUGUGGGAAAU